ACGCUCGACACCUACGGGGCAGCAGUGGGGAAUAUUGCACAAUGGGGGAAACCCGUGAUGCAGCGACGCCGCGUGAGCGAAGAAGUAUUUCGGUAUGUAAAGCUCUAUCAGCAGGGAAGAAAGUGACGGUACCUGACUAAGAAGCACCGGCUAAAUACGUGCCAGCAGCCGCGGUAAUCUGAGCGGGCUGGCAAGGC
rnacentral:rRNA from 1 species